UACGUAGGGUGCGAGCGUUGUCCGGAAUUACUGGGCGUAAAGCGCACGUAGGCGGCUAUUCAAGUCGGGGGGUGAAAGCCCGGGGCUCAACCCCGGAACUGCCCUCGAAACUAGAUAGCUAGAAUCUUGGAGAGGUCAGUGGAAUUCCGAGUGUAGAGGUGAAAUUCGUAGAUAUUCGGAAGAACACCAGUGGCGAAGGCGGCUGACUGGACAUGUAUUGACGCUGAGGUGCGAAAGCGUGGGGAGCAAACAGG
rnacentral:rRNA from 1 species